rnacentral:rRNA from 1 species
UACGAAGGGGGCUAGCGUUGUUCGGAAUUACUGGGCGUAAAGCGCACGUAGGCGGGUGGUUAAGUCAGGGGUGAAAUCCCGGAGCUCAACUCCGGAACUGCCUUUGAUACUGGCCAUCUAGAGAUCGGAAGAGGUGAGUGGAAUUCCCAGUGUAGAGGUGAAAUUCGUAGAGAUUGGGAAGAACACCAGUGGCGAAGGCGGCUCACUGGUCCGAUACUGACGAUGAGGUGCGAAAGAGUGGGGAGCAAACAGG